AUUGAACGCUGGCGGCAUGCUUUACACAUGCAAGUCGAACGGCAGCGCGGGCUUUGGCCUGGCGUCUAGUGGCGAACGGGUGAGUAAUACAUCGCAACGUUCCCACUUGUGGGUGACAGCUCGGCGAAAGCCGGAUUAAUAUCGCAUACGACCAGAGUGUGAAAGCGGGGGAUCUUCGUACCUCGCGCUAUUGAUGCGUCCGAUGGCAGAUUCGCUAGAUGGUGGGGUAAAUGGCUACCAAGGCGACGAACUGUAGCUGGGCUGAGCGGACGACUAGCCCCCCCGGGACUGAAACACGGCACAGACCCCAACGGGAGGCAGCGGUGGGGAAUUUUAGACAAUGGGAGGAAGCCUGGUCCAGCAAUGCCGCGUGUGUGAUGGAGGCCUUCCGGUUGUAAAGCAAUUCUGGCGGGAACGAAAAGGACUGUGCCAAUACCACGUUUGGAUGACGGUACCCGAAGAAUAAGCACCGGCUAACUACGUG
rnacentral:rRNA from 1 species